AGAACCCGACGCAAGAGCUUGGGGAUCCGACUUACUAUCGCUCCCCCGAUACUGCGCCGGUCGAUGUUCGACUGAACGCAUCUACGAAAGUCCGACUACCGAACCUUUACCAGGUUCGGUCGGCUCCCGACUUAACAGAUGCGCCCGACCGGCGACUUUAAUUAUUGGAAGCCGACCUAAAGUCGGGACACAAGCUACUUCGGAGCUGUGCAAGUCGGUUAAGUCCUGCCGACUUACCCGAGUUGGCGACU
rnacentral:lncRNA from 1 species